rnacentral:rRNA from 1 species
CACGUAGGGUGCGAGCGUUGUCCGGAAUUAUUGGGCGUAAAGAGCUCGUAGGCGGCUCGGUAAGUCGGAUGUGAAACCUCCAGGCUCAACCUGGAGACGCCAUCUGAUACUGCCGUGGCUUGAGUCCGGUAGAGGAGCAGGGAAUUCCUGGUGUAGCGGUGAAAUGCGCAGAUAUCAGAAGGAACACCAGCGGCGAAGGCGCUGCUCUGGGCCGGUACUGACGCUGAGGAGCGAAAGCGUGGGGAGCGAACAGG